rnacentral:rRNA from 1 species
CAGCCGCCGCGGUAAUACGUAGGUCCCGAGCGUUGUCCGGAUUUAUUGGGCGUAAAGCGAGCGCAGGCGGUUAGAUAAGUCUGAAGUUAAAGGCUGUGGCUUAACCAUAGUACGCUUUGGAAGCUGUUUAACUUGAGUGCAAGAGGGGAGAGUGGAAUUCCAUGUGUAGCGGUGAAAUGCGUAGAUAUAUGGAGGAACACCGGUGGCGAAAGCGGCUCUCUGGCUUGUAACUGACGCUGAGGCUCGAAAGCGUGGGGAGCAAACAGGAUUAGAUACCCCCGUAGUCCCUGUCUCUUAUACC